AGGCUUAGUUGAGUUGAGUAUAAUAACAUGAUACUAUUAAUUAGGUUCUUGAAUUGAAUUUAUGCUCAUACUCAUACAUGGCCAAAGUGCUCAUUAUUGAUGCAUAGUGAAAAUAUCAAAAAGCAUUGAUCAGACCGAGGAAACAUCCUCCUAGCAAAUGCAAGAGGAGAGGUUUGUAUCUCUGAUUGCCCCCAAAGCCUGCAGUGUGGGAAGCCUCAUGCGCUGGGAAGUUAGGAGCACUCUUUGUAGUAAUUUUACAGCUUGUGCACCUUGAAAAACUACAAAUGUAACAGAGAGAACUUUGUGGGAUUAUUAUGUUCAUGUAUGUUGCCAACUGCAGGUUCUUAUAUGUUUCAGAGCUUGUAAAUGUUCCAGUUGGUUAAUUGUUAUCCCUGAUAUGUGCAUUGGUAACUUUAAUUUAUAACUUUUGCCAUUCCACAUAAUACUUGUCAAACUUCAUCUAAUAUUUUGAUAUAAGAUUCUCUCAUCUUAAUACAUCUAAAAUUUCAGAAUUCUCGGAGUCAUUGCGGGAAAUGGGUUCUUGUCUACUGGAGAAAACUGCGUUACAUGAUGAUGAAGAAAGUGGUAAGUGAAAGUGUGAAAAAGGAUUAUCAAAUUGCUUUUUGUUCUAGCAAUUGUUUAAGAUAGAUAUUGGCAUUGUAACAUGUUCUAUCAAAUUUAGCCUGGAAGUUUAUAAUGUUCACAGUUCACCUCAUCAUUAAAAUGCCACACCUCUCAGGUAUCAGGGGAACUAGGCUUUAUAAUAUACUCAUAUGUACAUAUUUGUAUUAUAUGCAUGGUUCGACUAAAUCACAUAGUGUUUUCUUUGGGGGAAGGAAAAAGAGAGUUGUUUAUUGCUAUAUGGAUCAGAAGGCCCUUUAAACCUUUCUUAUGUUAUAUACAGAUGACUUUGAUUUUGAAUGAAAAAUUUUUUGUGCCUUUCUAGUUUGUUCAUGAUCAAAUUUGGGAGCUUAGGUCUGUAAAUCUCUGAUUCUUUUAGCUUGAGAAGGUUACAUCUGAUUGCUUUAGGCAGGAGUAGGUUUGGUGUUUAGCUCAUAAAAGUAUGUUCUAUAAUGAAUAUUUUAUGUUUUUGUCUUUCCUUCUCUCCUCCUCCUUCAUAUGUCGAGACAUCUUACCUUUAUUUGAACUUUGUAUAUUUUGGUUUGAAAUUAAGGCUUAUUUUAGUUGAAUAUCAUCUUUAUAUUUUUCUUUCAGUGCUCAAAGAGUUUGCUUGAUUUUAUUGUUGUAAUACGGGCUGUUGAAAUUAAUAUAUACUGUUAACUGUUGACCCAUUAAGUACAUAGAGAUGCACCCUAAUUUGUUUUAUUAGUUAUUUCCCUUCUAUAUGAGAACAUGUGUUUUGAGAAUUAAUGAACAUGCUAUUCAAACUUCAUAAUUUUUAAAGGCACAAGGUGCAAAGGUGUCCUGUACCCUAGGCUGCAAAGUGAGAGAGGUGAAGUGCAAAAGAAAUAAAAUAAAUAAGACAACUAAUCCUGUAUAAGACAACUACUUAUAUUAAUAACAUAAAAAAAUUUAGAAUUCUAGCACUAACUUUUUUGAAUCCCAAAUGGAAAUAAAACUAAUAAUGUUAAAAAGUUUUGAACCAUAUUCCUACAUUCCUACUAGAUAGCAAUAAUCCCAUGAAACAACUUGAUGUAGAACCAGGAAGAACAAAUAUCAAGAGAAACAAAUUCUCAAAGAUCAAGAGUAACAAAUUCUCAAGUAUAAAAAGAAACAAAUUCUCAAAAUUUCUUGAAUGAAAAUGAAAGCAAAAAGAAACAAGAGCAUUAAAGGAAUUCUUGAAUGAAAAUGAAAGCAAAAAGAAACAAGAGCAUUAAAGGAAAAAAGAAACAAGAAAAACAUCCAGAAAAUGGAUAGUAUUUUAGAGUCAUCUGGAAAAGGAAAAAAAAAUGAGAAAAGAAAGGAAAAAAAGGUGUGAGGAGUGAUAGAAUUGAAUAAAAUAUAAAGAGGGAAAAGUCAUCUCAUGGCAACUAGAUCUCGAGAUUUAGUCAAUCUCAUUCCAAAAUCUGAGCAGUUUCAGUCUCAUGUUAACAAACAUAAUCUUAGCCUAUUUCUUUGUAUUGAGCUAUAUUCUUGUGUACAUUCCUUACAUAUGUAUAACUUUGUGUGUUUGUAUAGAAAUCAUUCUUUAAUAAAAUAACAGAGAUAGAAAACAAAUAUUUCUCUUAAAAAAUUCUUAGAGGCAAUAGAGAUAGAAUGAAGGAAAGGGAUCUUAGACAGUCGUAUUUUGUAUUGAGUUAGUGGAGUAGAAUAGAUUCAGAAAAAUAGAAAAUAAAGGACCAUGAGAGCUGGAAAAAAGAAGAAGAAAAUUGGAGUAAAAAACAAUAGCAAAGAAGGAUGAUGGGUAGAGGGAGAAACCUGAUUGCGAGCUAUAGAAAAACCCAAACAGUAGUAUUUUCUUCCCCUUUGUGUAGGAAGGUUGUUUAUUCCAAACCAAUGUUGGUUUCUUUCUUUUUGUUGUUUUGGUUUGACUUGGUCAGUUGAUCUACAUGACAAUGGUAAGGCCACUUGCAUAGUUGAAUUAAAAGUGGAGUCUUCUUCUUCUU
rnacentral:misc_RNA from 1 species